GGAAUUGUGUAUGUGUCUAUUGGUGCACUAGCCGGAGUUUUCUCCAGCCAGCUAACGUCAACUGUCUGUCACCACCGACACCGCGUGCGUGCGUGUGGAGCAGUGAAGCCAAGCCAGCCGACUCCAGAGUCCAGACUCGACAGAAAACGCAGUUAGAGAAACUUCCCCCCAAGCAGACGUUGAGGCCCAGAUUUCUCUGCCAAGCACUCUAAGACUCAUCAUGCUCGGAGAGUCCAUUCUGGGGGCAAAUAGGUGGAUGCUUUCCAUCGAGGGCAGAGUUCUCCAACCAAAUCCAUAUACUAUAUGUUUAACAUGGAAUAUCCUGCGGAGGCAGCCACCACAUUAGAAUGUAUCCAGAGGGUAGAAGACUCCAGCCCAGGAAAUUGUCUAAUUCAGGCCCGUUUCUGAAGAAAAAUACAGGGACCAAAUUCUACUGUUUGAAAUCCUGCUGUUUUUAAAUAAUUAAAUUUGCCUUUUAUACAUUCUAAUUUUAACCGAACAUAUUAAUCCAUUUGAACAGGAUUGAUUUGUAUGUUCAGAAAAGUGUUGUUGUAUACAAAACUAAAUGAAAUGUUAACAGACAAAUGUUUACCUAUUGAAGAUUUUUUUUUUUUUGCUAUGCUAUUUUUAUUUUAUGAAUUUAGAAAUUAAAAGUGUGAAAAGUUAUCAAUAAAUGGCAUUUUUUUGGCAAAAACAGUGUCUUCAUUUUACAGUACACAAAAUGAAUGCUGUAAUCCUUAUUACAGUAGUAAAAUAUGUGAGGUGAUGAAACACAGUACUGUGAUUAUUACUGUAAAAAAAGUUUACAGUAUUUGUAAAGUU